AUUGAACGCUGGCGGCAUGCCUUACACAUGCAAGUCGAACGGUAACAGGGAGCUUGCUCCGCUGACGAGUGGCGAACGGGUGAGUAAUGUAUCGGAACGUACCAUUCAGUGGGGGAUAACGUAGCGAAAGUUACGCUAAUACCGCAUAUUCUGUGAGCAGGAAAGCAGGGGAUCGCAAGACCUUGCGCUGAUUGAGCGGCCGAUAUCAGAUUAGCUAGUUGGUGAGGUAAAGGCUCACCAAGGCGACGAUCUGUAGCGGGUCUGAGAGGAUGAUCCGCCACACUGGAACUGAGACACGGUCCAGACUCCUACGGGAGGCAGCAGUGGGGAAUUUUGGACAAUGGGGGCAACCCUGAUCCAGCCAUGCCGCGUGAGUGAAGAAGGCCUCGGUUGUAAGACUCUUUCGGUCCGGGAAAACGUACGACAUCAGUUAAUAACCUCGGUGUGGAGUGAUGGUACCGGAAGUAAGAAGACACCGGCUAACUACGUGCC
rnacentral:rRNA from 1 species